GGUACAGUCCGUUCCGGUGACGGGCCGGAUGUCUGCGUGUUGUUGGUGGGGAAAUGGCGAGUUCGGGCGCGGCGGCGCCUGGGGCGGAUAGAGGCCCCGGUCCUGGUCGCUCCUCCGGAGAGAACGCUAGCCAAGACAGCACGUUCGAGUGCAACAUCUGUCUGGACACGGCCAAGGACGCAGUGAUCAGCCUCUGUGGUCACCUGUUCUGCUGGCCUUGUUUACAUCAGUGGUUGGAGACCAGACCUAAUCGACAGGUUUGCCCUGUAUGCAAAGCAGGCAUCAGUCGAGACAAAGUGAUUCCCCUUUAUGGAAGAGGAAGUACUGGUCAGCAGGAUCCCAGAGAGAAAACUCCACCAAGACCACAGGGACAGAGGCCUGAGCCAGAGAGCAGAGGGGGUUUCCAAGGUUUUGGGUUUGGAGAUGGAGGAUUCCAGAUGUCUUUCGGGAUUGGUGCAUUUCCGUUUGGAAUUUUUGCAACAGCUUUUAAUAUUAAUGAUGGCCGUCCACCACCAGCAGGGUGAGCAGAAGAGCAUCUCUGAACGCACAAGAUGUUGAACCUUGAAAUGGAUGGGCUUCAGCAGCAGAAGAGUACACCAGCAGUCCCUGGAACACCCCAACAUGUGGAUGAACAGUUCUUAUCUCGCCUCUUCCUCUUCGUGGCUCUUGUGAUAAUGUUUUGGCUCCUCAUUGCCUGAGGACAAACCGCAAUCCUUAACACGAGUCCCGUGUGUGGUCUGAAAUGUGGGCAAUGAACCAUCCCAGGAUUCUCUGUUUUUCUACCUUUGGAUACGUAUUAGGGGCAAAAAUUAUAUCAAAUAGAAACUAAAAUCAGCUUCUAAUGGGAUAGGUUUUAAUGAACUGUGAAUGAAUUUAAAAGGCUUCUUUUCUAGGGCUGUAAUUUUGUCGCAGUGUCUGUUUCAGUGAGGUUGAGUGGUGUGCCCACUUACUGGAGUGGUGUCUGUAAUCACUGCUGCACUGUCAUUGUGCAAAGGUGAGGGAAGCUGUUUGCUAAUAGAAGAAAUAGCCCUUGAGUGAAAGAGCCUGGAGAUUUAAGCAGCAUAUAUCAGACAGCUUGGUUGCUUAAAUCAUCUGAUGAAGGCAAGUGUGUAAACUCCACUCGACUUGAGCAGCAGUGCAAACUGGUGCUGAGAAACCCAUCUGCUGCUCAAUGGAAUAGAAAAUUUCCUACAAUACUAUUCAAAGAAAGACUGGGAAAUCUGUGAGAAACAUUACUCCUUUAUGUAAUGAUCAUUGUGGGAUCUCACAGGACCUGAACUGACUGGCACUUUUUUCUACAUAAUAUUGACUAUAGUUCAAAACAACUUCUUGGUUGUGAAGAUUUUUGUAAAUUGAGGGUGUUAAUAAUUGUAAUUUCCUUGUUUUGUUUCUUUUAAUUUCAGAUGUCAUGUUAUACAGUGACAAAAGGACUUGUUUUUCAUCUGCACACUUCCUGGUCACUCAGUAAUGGUCUACCUGGUUCUACACAUCCCUGCUGAGACACUAAUAUUGAGAGAAAUUUCUCAGUGACCAAUUACCUACUCCGGUGACUGUAAUAAUGGAUUUCCCUUUAACAAAGCUGUUCAUCAGCACUUUUUAUUAAUUAUUCAUGGGACCUGCACCUCGACAGCAAUUACCUGCCCCUUGAGCCAUUUCAGAAGACUCUUGACCACUUUAGUGAGUCUAGAAUUGUAGGUAGGGUAAAACAGCAAAUAUCUUUUGGACUCUCCCUGUAACUUGAGGAUCCAGGGUUCAGCUUGUUCUGAGACCCUGAGAAGACACUCUGAGAGUUGUUUAAAGGGACAGGUUAAGGCCAGGUUAAGUCAGUGAUCAGAGGCCCCACUACAGUUCAGUCCUGGGUGUAACAAGCUGCAGAAUGAAGUGGGCAGCCCUGCAACCAGAUAGAAGGAGUGAGUUAAUGAAGGAUAAAGACCAGGUUACUGGAUUGUGGGAAGGCUCUAGGAUUCUGUCUUAUGGCUCAGCUAGUUAGUGGAGCUGCUGGAAUUGAUGGGGAAUGCCUUUGCCUUGCCAGAUUGACAGUACUGGGAGAGAGUAACAGCUUUUUACAAAGACAGGUGGCUAUUAGAUGUAUCAAUGUAUUUUUAAUUUAAUAUUGUAUAUCUGGCUUUGUAUCAGAUGUCAAAUAAAUACAGAACAUAAAUCGA